rnacentral:rRNA from 1 species
AACGAACGCUGGCGGCAUGCCUAACACAUGCAAGUCGAACGAGACCUUCGGGUCUAGUGGCGCAAGGGUGCGUAACGCGUGGGAACCUGCCCUUAGGUUCGGAAUAACUCCCCGAAAGGGGUGCUAAUACCGGAUAAUGUCUUCGGACCAAAGAUUUAUCGCCUUUGGAUGGGCCCGCGUUGGAUUAGCUAGUUGGUAGGGUAAAAGCCUACCAAGGCGACGAUCCAUAGCUGGUCUGAGAGGAUGAUCAGCCACACUGGGACUGAGACACGGCCCAGACUCCUACGGGAAGCAGCAGUGGGGAAUAUUGGACAAUGGGCGAAAGCCUGAUCCAGCAAUGCCGCGUGAGUGAUGAAGGCCUUAGGGUUGUAAAGCUCUUUUACCCGGGAUGAUAAUGACAGUACCGGGAGAAUAAGCUCCGGCUAACUCCGUG